UUUUUUUUUUUCUUUUUCGUCAUGCCUACAGCAUAUGGAGGUUCCCAGGCUAGGGGUCAAAUCAGAGCUACAGCUGCCACCACAACUCGGGAUCUAAGUAAGCCACAUCCGCAACUUAUGCAACAGCUUCUGGCUACACCAGACUGUUAACCCACUAAGCAAGGCCAGGGACUGAACUCACAUCCUCGUGGAUAUUAGUCAGUCAGUUUCGUUACUGCUGAGCCACAGCAGGAACUCCAAAGUUUUACUGAUGUAUAGUUGAUUUAACACGUUGUGCUACUUUCUGCUGUACAGCAAAAUGACCCCGUCACACACAUACAUACAUUCCCCUUCUUUUUUUUUUUUUGUCUUUUUGCCUUUUUCCUUUUUUUUCUGGGCCUGCUCCCGCGGCAUAUGGAGGUUCCCAGGCGAGGGGUCGAAUUGGAGCUGUGGCUGCCGGCCUACACCACAGCCACAGCCACGCCGGAUCCGAGCCACAUCUGCAACCUACACACCGCAGCUCACGGCAGUGCCGGAUCCUGCCACCAAAAUAAUGUAACAUUAGUUUAUACAGAAAAUGCUAUUAUUAAUUGUAAGUUUAUUUGUUUUCUUGGGCAUUUAAUCUGAAGCACACAGGUAAUUGCCUUAUAGAUUAACAAAGACGUUUGUGGCAGGCAGGUCUGCGUUUCUACGGCUUUAGGCUAUUAACACACUUGAACAAUGUAUUGUAGUGUCUUCAGUGCAUUCUGUUAAAGAAAUAUGACCAAAGAUGUAAAGGCGAUUAGUAAUGUAUUUCCUGUGCAGAGUGGAAAGUUCAAUAGAAACAUUAACAUAAACUUAUAGAAUGUCAGGUAAAAAAUGUUAAACGUUCAAUAAAAGUUAUCUCCCAUCUGGGUAAAUUUGUUUUCCCUUUAACAAUAUUUUCAAUUUAAAAUUAAUAGACAAUUUAUUUUUAAUGAGGAACUUUUAAAAUAUCGUCUUGUUUUGUAUACACUCUCUCAAUUUUAAAUCUCUUAUUUUAAAAAGCACUUAGUCAUUCUAGGAUGGAGCAGUCUCCGGACAUCAAUUACUUCGCCUCCAAUACACCUCUUCUCUCAAGGGAGAGGCC
rnacentral:lncRNA from 1 species